GCCAGGAGUUUGGUCUAGUUGUAGAGUGCUUGCCUAGCAUGCAUGAAGCCCUGGGUUCAGUUCCUCAGCACCACAAAAACAGAAAAAGUCAGAAGUGGUGCUGUGGCUCAAGAGCUAGAGUGUUAGCCUUGAGCAAAAAGAAGCCAGG